GGUUAAGCGACUAAGCGUACACGGUGGAUGCCCUGGCAGUCAGAGGCGAUGAAGGACGUGCUAAUCUGCGAAAAGCGUCGGUAAGGUGAUAUGAACCGUUACAGCCGGCGAUGUCCGAAUGGGGAAACCCAGUGCAAUUCGUUGCACUAUCGUUAACUGAAUACAUAGGUUAACGAGGCGAACCGGGGGAACUGAAACAUCUAAGUACCCCGAGGAAAAGAAAUCAACCGAGAUUCCCCCAGUAGCGGCGAGCGAACGGGGAGCAGCCCAGAGUCUGAAUCAGCUUGUGUGUUAGUGGAACGGUCUGGAAAGUCCGACGGUACAGGGUGAUAGUCCCGUACACCAAAAUGCACAGGUUGUGAACUCGAAGAGUAGGGCGGGACACGUGGUAUCCUGUCUGAAUAUGGGGGGACCAUCCUCCAAGGCUAAAUACUCCUGACUGACCGAUAGUGAACCAGUACCGUGAGGGAAAGGCGAAAAGAACCCCGGCGAGGGGAGUGAAAAAGAACCUGAAACCGUGUACGUACAAGCAGUGGGAGCACCUUCGGGUGUGACUGCGUACCUUUUGUAUAAUGGGUCAGCGACUUAUAUUCUGUAGCAAGGUUAACCGUAUAGGGGAGCCGCAGGGAAACCGAGUCUUAACUGGGCGUUAAGUUGCAGGGUAUAGACCCGAAACCCGGUGAUCUAGCCAUGGGCAGGUUGAAGGUUGGGUAACACUAACUGGAGGACCGAACCGACUAAUGUUGAAAAAUUAGCGGAUGACUUGUGGCUGGGGGUGAAAGGCCAAUCAAACCGGGAGAUAGCUGGUUCUCCCCGAAAGCUAUUUAGGUAGCGCCUCGUGAACUCAUCUUCGGGGGUAGAGCACUGUUUCGGCUAGGGGGUCAUCCCGACUUACCAACCCGAUGCAAACUACGAAUACCGAAGAAUGUUAUCACGGGAGACACACGGCGGGUGCUAACGUCCGUCGUGAAGAGGGAAACAACCCAGACCGCCAGCUAAGGUCCCAAAGUCACAGUUAAGUGGGAAACGAUGUGGGAAGGCACAGACAGCCAGGAUGUUGGCUUAGAAGCAGCCAUCAUUUAAAGAAAGCGUAAUAGCUCACUGGUCGAGUCGGCCUGCGCGGAAGAUGUAACGGGGCUAAACUGUGCAC
rnacentral:rRNA from 1 species